rnacentral:lncRNA from 1 species
UUUCUUUUGAUAGUGGGUAUUAAGAUUGGUUUUGGUUGAUAGUAACUUCUAAAUAUUUAGAGUCACCUUUGUUAGACAUUGGUAACAUUUAAAAAUUUAUUUUGGUUCUUUUAUUUGAUGUUUGGAAUAUAAAUUAUGUAAAUCUUAUAAGAAAAAGGAUUGAAGAAGGAUUUUGGUAGCAAACGAAGUAAUUAAGGCACUGUUGUUCUCGAUGCAUUCAAGCUUCAAUAUACCAAAGCAAUUGAAUUAAUAGAGGUGGAUUUGAAUACUGAGAAAGACUGGUUAUAUGAAUUGGGUCUGUUAGUGUCACAACUGACUGUACUCUGGCUAUCUGAAAUCAAUUAUCGAAUUAUAAAACACCAAGGCUUACUACUUUUAUCUUGAUUCAAGACAUAAUCCAAUCUACGACUAUCAAUUCAAUAAUACUUCUCUCAAUCACAAUUCUUCAUAAGCAAAUAAUAAAAGUAAAGAAAAUAAAGAGGUAGCACCAAGCUUACCCCAGCUUAUAACUCUCAUAAUCUGGCUCCCAGCUUACAACUUUUGUAGUCUGGCUCUCGGCUUACAACCCUCAUAGUCAGGCUCUCAGCUUACGACUCUCACAGUCUGGCUCUCGGCUUAAGACUCACACAGUUUGAUUCUUGACUUUCUUUCCUUAACCUAUUUAUCCUACCAAAAAGAUGAUCCAUCGGCCAGUAGAUUCCAAAAGUUAUGACCCUUUGAAUUCUUAACCAUUUACUCCACUAACAACCUACUGUUACCAACUAAACUGCCUAACCAUCAGUCUAAUUUUCAAGGUUCUCAAUAACCAACUAAUAACUUACCACAAAGUUUAUUUACCUAUUCUACAUAGCCCCA